rnacentral:tRNA from 1 species
UGAUAAGAAGAGGACUUAAACCU